rnacentral:rRNA from 1 species
CCUACGGGAGGCAGCAGUGGGGAAUAUUGCACAAUGGGGGAAACCCUGAUGCAGCGACGCCGCGUGGGUGAAGAAGUAUUUCGGUACGUAAAGCUCUAUCAGCAGGGAAGAAAAUGACGGUACCUGACUAAGAAGCCCCGGCUAACUACGUGCCAGCAGCCGCGGUAAUACGUAGGGGGCACGCGUUAUCCGGAUUUACGGGGUGUAAAGGGAGCGUAGACGGCAGCGCAAGUCUGGAGUGAAAUCCCAUGGCUUAACCAUGGAACUGCUUUGGAAACUGUGCAGCUAGAGUGCAGGAGAGGUAAGCGGAAUUCCUAGUGUAGCGGUGAAAUGCGUAGAUAUUAGGAGGAACACCAGUGGCGAAGGCGGCUUACUGGACUGUAACUGACGUUGAGGCUCGAAAGCGUGGGGAGCAAACAGGAUUAGAUACCCUGGUAGUC